UCUGAAUGUGAAAAAUGUAAUUGGUCGUUACUGAACGUUGUCUCCUUUAAGAGAGUGUGAGAUAUUGACCAAUGAAGUGAGAGGACUCAUUUGCCGAGAAAUGACUGAUGGACAGCACGGAAAAAAAAGAAGAGAGAGAGGAAUACUAAAGAUUGUUGGAGAUUUCAGAAAGAGAGAGGAAAAAAAACACGUUUGGGAAUUAAAAACAAACAAAAAAAAAAAAACUAGAAGGAGAUUCUAGUAAAGUAUUAGUUUAGUUUGAACUGAAUUUUUUUUUGUUGAAUUGGUUGAAUUUUGGAUUUGGCAACAACACGAACUAAGUUGCUACCACAUGGAACAAGAUGGCGAGCCACCCAACAGACCUUGAGUGAAACGAGGAUAAAUGAGGACUUCAGUGGAUUUACUACUUUGUUUUCCUGAAUAAAAAAAAAAAAAAAAAAAAAAAGGGAAAGAGGAAGAAUUGCACAGGGCGACAGAUUGACUUGACAUCGAACUCUUUGGUUGUUUUCCUCAAUCGUUUGUGGACUAUAUUUUUUUCUGGUCAGCAUAACGGUAGGCCUGAACUGUUCCUCUAACAUCACUUCGCCCCUCCUGACUCAAGGAAUGGGAGGUGGAAGAUGGAGCAGUUGGAGGACAAGACUGUGGAAGGGAGAGAUCUGUGGUGAUAAAUGAUGGAGGACUGCUCCACCGUGAUGCUUUCCGACUCCAAAAUGGAACUGUUGCACUGCUUCUGACUGGGGCUUUUGUGCUGCUUUGUUAUCGGGAUGUCAUUGUCCAGCUGCUGUGCUGUGGAGGUUGCUUUAAUACAAGUUUACAUGAAUUUCAUAUCUGUACAUAUUAACAAACAAAAAAAAAAUGCAUUUUAAAUACUAAUUAUUAUUUCUGAACACAAAUCUUGCUCCUACCCUUAGUCAAGAUAAAUUCAUACGCUGUCCUCAUCUUAUUUAAAACAUUUCUUGUGACAGGAGUGGGGAGCAGAUGGGUGAUUAUGUCUGCAACCCACCUAUUUGAAUUCUUUUUAUCUUGUUUGGCAAAAGAAUAAAAUAGGUUUGUAACCCACUG